rnacentral:rRNA from 1 species
GCAUAUCAAUAAGCGGAGGAAAAGAAACUAACAAGGAUUCCCCUAGUAGCGGCGAGCGAAGCGGGAAGAGCUCAAAUUUAUAAUCUGGCACCUUCGGUGUCCGAGUUGUAAUCUCUAGAAAUGUUUUCCGCGUUGGACCGCACACAAGUCUGUUGGAAUACAGCGGCAUAGUGGUGAGACCCCCGUAUAUGGUGCGGACGCCCAGCGCUUUGUGAUACAUUUUCGAAGAGUCGAGUUGUUUGGGAAUGCAGCUCAAAUUGGGUGGUAAAUUCCAUCUAAAGCUAAAUAUUGGCGAGAGACCGAUAGCGAACAAGUACCGUGAGGGAAAGAUGAAAAGCACUUUGGAAAGAGAGUUAACAGUACGUGAAAUUGUUGGAAGGGAAACGCUUGAAGUCAGACUUGCUUGCCGAGCAAUCGGUUUGCAGGCCAGCAUCAGUUUUCCGGGAUGGAUAAUGGUAGAGAGAAGGUAGCAGUUUCGGCUGUGUUAUAGCUCUCUGCUGGAUACAUCUUGGGGGACUGAGGAACGCAGUGUGCCUUUGGCGGGGGUUUCGACCUCUCACACU